rnacentral:rRNA from 1 species
AACGAACGCUGGCGGCAUGCCUAACACAUGCAAGUCGAACGAGACCUUCGGGUCUAGUGGCGCACGGGUGCGUAACGCGUGGGAAUCUGCCCUUAGGUACGGGAAUAACUCAGGGAAACUUGAGCUAAUACCGUAUAAUGACUUCGGUCCAAAGAUUUAUCGCCUAAGGAUGAGCCCGCGUCGGAUUAGCUAGUUGGUGAGGUAAAAGACUCACCAAGGCGACGAUCCGUAGCUGGCUGAGAGGAUGAUCAGCCACACUGGGACU